GGGAGAGCGGGGCUACCUGCAGUCGACGAACCUUCGGGUUAGUGGCGGACGGGUGAGUAACGCGUGAGAAUCUGCCCUCAGGAGGGGGAUAACGGUUGGAAACGACCGCUAAUACCCCAUAUGCCUAUUGGUGAAAUGAAUUUCGCCUGAGGAUGAGCUCGCGUCUGAUUAGCUUGUUGGUGAGGUAAUGGCUCACCAAGGCUUCGAUCAGUAGCUGGUCUGAGAGGAUGAUCAGCCACACUGGGACUGAGACACGGCCCAGACUCCUACGGGAGGCAGCAGUGGGGAAUUUUCCGCAAUGGGCGAAAGCCUGACGGAGCAACGCCGCGUGAGGGACGAAGGCCUCUGGGCUGUAAACCUCUUUUCUCAAGGAAGAAGAUAUGACGGUACUUGAGGAAUAAGCCACGGCUAAUUCCGUGCCAGCAGCCGCGGUAAUACGGGAGUGGCAAGCGUUAUCCGGAAUUAUUGGGCGUAAAGCGUCCGCAGGCGGCUUUUCAAGUCUGCUGUUAAAACGUGGAGCUUAACUCCAUCAUGGCAGUGGAAACUGAAAGGCUUGAGUAUGGUAGGGGCAGAGGGAAUUCCCGGUGUAGCGGUGAAAUGCGUAGAUAUCGGGAAGAACACCAGUGGCGAAGGCGCUCUGCUGGGCCAUUACUGACGCUCAUGGACGAAAGCCAGGGGAGCGAAAGGGAUUAGAUACCCCUGUAGUCCUGGCCGUAAACGAUGAACACUAGGUGUCGGGGGAAUCGACCCCUUCGGUGUCGUAGCUAACGCGUUAAGUGUUCCGCCUGGGGAGUACGCACGCAAGUGUGAAACUCAAAGGAA
rnacentral:rRNA from 1 species